rnacentral:rRNA from 1 species
UACAGAGACCUCAAGCGUUAUCCGGAAUCAUUGGGCGUAAAGCGUACCGAUAGGUGGUUUUGGUAGUUUUGGGUAAAAGCCGGAAGCUCAACUUCCGCGUUUGCUCAAAAUACUCCAAGACUAGAGGGACAAAGAGGUGGCUGGAACGAAUGGUGUAGUAGUGAAAUGCGUUGAUAUCAUUCGGAACACCGAAAGCGAAGGCAGGCCACUGGGUGUCACCUGACACUGCUAGGACGAAAGCGUGGGGAGCGAAUGGG